UACGGGGGGGGCAAGCGUUGUUCGGAAUUACUGGGCGUAAAGGGCUCGUAGGCGGCCAACUAAGUCACACGUGAAAUCCCUCGGCUCAACCGGGGAACUGCGUGUGAGACUGGAUGGCUUGAGUUUGGGAGAGGAAUGUGGAAUUCCAGGUGUAGCGGUGAAAUGCGUAGAUAUCUGGAGGAACACCGGUGGCGAAGGCGGCAUUCUGGACCAAUACUGACGCUGAGGAGCGAAAGCCAGGGGAGCAAACGGG
rnacentral:rRNA from 1 species